GAUGAACGCUGGCGGCGUGCCUAAUACAUGCCAGUCGAGCGAACGGACGAGAAGCUUGCUUCUCUGAUGUUAGCGGCGGACGGGUGAGUAACACGUGGAUAACCUACCUAUAAGACUGGGAUAACUUCGGGAAACCGGAGCUAAUACCGGAUGAUAUUUUGAACCGCAUGGUUCAAAAGUGAAAGACGGUCUUGCUGUCACUUAUAGAUGGAUCCGCGCUGCAUUAGCUAGUUGGUAAGGUAACGGCUUACCAAGGCAACGAUGCAUAGCCGACCUGAGAGGGUGAUCGGCCACACUGGAACUGAGACACGGUCCAGACUCCUACGGGAGGCAGCAGUAGGGAAUCUUCCGCAAUGGGCGAAAGCCUGACGGAGCAACGCCGCGUGAGUGAUGAAGGUCUUCAGAUCGUAAAACUCUGUUAUUAGGGAAGAACAUAUGUGUAAGUAACUGUGCACAUCUUGACGGUACCUAAUCAGAAAGCCACGGCUAACUACGUG
rnacentral:rRNA from 1 species